UAUUGGUCAAUGGGCGAGAGCCUGAACCAGCCAAGUAGCGUGAAGGAUGACUGCCUAUGGGUUGUAAACUUCUUUUAUAAAGGAAUAAGUCGGGUAUGGAUACCCGUUUGCAUGUACUUUAUGAAUAAGGAUCGGCUAACUCCGUGCCAGCAGCCGCGGUAAUACGGAGGAUCCGAGCGUUAUCCGGAUUUAUUGGGUUUAAAGGGAGCGUAGAUGGAUGUUUAAGUCAGUUGUGAAAGUUUGCGGCUCAACCGUAAAAUUGCAGUUGAUACUGGAUAUCUUGAGUGCAGUUGAGGCAGGCGGAAUUCGUGGUGU
rnacentral:rRNA from 1 species